rnacentral:sRNA from 1 species
GCUGGGUGAGGUGGCAUACACCUGUAAUCCCAGUGUCUUGGGAGGCUGAGGCAGGAGGAUCACAAGUUCAAAACCAGCCUCAGCCUUAGCAAGGCCCUAAGUAACUCAGUGAAACCCUGUUUCUU